UACGUAGGGGCCUAGCGUUGUCCGGAUUUAUUGGGCGUAAAGAGCUCGUAGGCGGUUCGGCAAGUCGGAUGUGAAAUCUCCACGCUUAACGUGGAGGGGCCAUUCGAAACUGCCGUGACUCGAGUCCGGUAGGGGAGUGUGGAAUUCCCGGUGUAGCGGUGAAAUGCGCAGAUAUCGGGAGGAACACCGGUGGCGAAGGCGGCAUCCUGGACCGGCAUUGACGCUGAGGCGCGAAAGCCAGGGGAGCAAACGGG
rnacentral:rRNA from 1 species